GCCGUGAUAGCUCAGUUGGGAGAGCAGUAGACUGAAGCAUUACGUAAUACGGCUUACGUAAGCCUUCUAAAGGUCACCCGUUCGAUCCGGGUUCAUGGCA